rnacentral:misc_RNA from 1 species
AAAUGCGAUAAGUAAUGUGCAUUGCAGAAUUCAGUGAAUCAUCGAAUCUUUGAACGCACAUUGCGCCCCCUGGUAUUCCGGGGGGCAUGCCUGUUCGAGCGUCAUUUCACCACUCAAGCCUCGCUUGGUAUUGGGCGACGCGGUCCGCCGCGCGCCUCAAAUCGACCGGCUGGGUCUUCCGUCCCCUCAGCGUUGUGGAAACUAUUCGCUAAAGGGUGCCGCGGGAGGUCACGCCGCAAAACAACCCCAUUUCUAAGGUUGACCUCGGAUCAGGUAGGGAUACCCGCUGAACUUAAGC